CUACACCAAGCCAUUUAUGAAUUAAAUUUAAUGACAGUUUGACUGAUGAUGAAGAACCAUAGCUGAUUGCUGUAUUGUACGUCUUCAUUAAAAAAUACAAUUAAUAUAUUUUAUUUCUGUUAAAAGAUUCUUUGUGAGGAUCAAUCCAGAUGUUGGUACCAAAUGCACAGCCAAAGUCGGUACAAGCCGCAAGACGGGAAGUCUUGUCAAGAGGAAAGUAGUCAGUGUCAACUCCCGGAUCACCACCUUCUUCCAACAACUUGCUGAAUUUGAAUGGAGGACUUCCAACUAGUUCAGCUUCCACAAGAUGGAUCCCACUGAUUUUGUUUGACGAAUGGAAUAAAAGUUCUUCUGAUGUAG